AGUGGCGGACGGGUGAGUAGCGCGUGAGAAUCUGCCUUGGGGUCGGGGACAACCACUGGAAACGGUGGCUAAUACCGGAUAAGCCGAUUGGUGAAAGAUUUAUUGCCCGAAGAGGAGCUCGCGUCUGAUUAGCUAGUUGGUGAGGUAAGAGCUCACCAAGGCAGCGAUCAGUAGCUGGUCUGAGAGGACGAUCAGCCACACUGGGACUGAGACACGGCCCAGACUCCUACGGGAGGCAGCAGUGGGGAAUUUUCCGCAAUGGGCGAAAGCCUGACGGAGCAAGACCGCGUGAGGGAGGAAGGCUCUUGGGUUGUAAACCUCUUUUCUCAGGGAAGAAGCUCUGACGGUACCUGAGGAAUCAGCCUCGGCUAACUCCGUGCCAGCAGCCGCGGUAAUACGGAGGAGGCAAGCGUUAUCCGGAAUUAUUGGGCGUAAAGCGUCCGCAGGUGGCGAUUCAAGUCUGCUGUCAAAGCACGGGGCUUAACUCCGUAAAGGCAGUGGAAACUGAAUAGCUAGAGUGCCGUAGGGGUAGAGGGAAUUCCCGGUGUAGCGGUGAAAUGCGUAGAGAUCGGGAAGAACAUCGGUGGCGAAAGCGCUCUACUGGACGGCAACUGACACUCAGGGACGAAAGCUAGGGGAGCGAAUGGGAUUAGAUACCCC
rnacentral:rRNA from 1 species